UACGUAGGGUGCAAGCGUUGUCCGGAAUUAUUGGGCGUAAAGAGCUCGUAGGCGGUCUGUCGCGUCUGCUGUGAAAUCUCAGGGCUUAACCCUGAGCUUGCAGUGGGUACGGGCAGACUAGAGUGCGGUAGGGGAGACUGGAAUUCCUGGUGUAGCGGUGGAAUGCGCAGAUAUCAGGAGGAACACCGGUGGCGAAGGCGGGUCUCUGGGCCGUAACUGACGCUGAGGAGCGAAAGCGUGGGGAGCGAACAGG
rnacentral:rRNA from 1 species